rnacentral:misc_RNA from 1 species
UACGGAGGAUCCAAGCGUUAUCCGGAAUCAUUGGGUUUAAAGGGUGCGUGGGCGGGUAAUUAAGUCAGUGGUGAAAGUCUGCAGCUCAACUGUAGAAUUGCCAUUGAUACUGUUGUUCUUGAGUUAUUGUGAAGUGGUUGGAAUAUGUAGUGUAGCGGUGAAAUGCAUAGAUAUUACAUAGAACACCGAUUGCGAAGGCAGAUCACUAACAAUAUACUGACGCUGAUGGACGAAAGCGUAGGUAGCGAACGGG